rnacentral:rRNA from 1 species
UUAAGUUAGAAAGGGCGCACGGUGGAUGCCUUGACACUAGGAGUCGAUGAAGGACGGGACUAACGCCGAUAUGCUUCGGGGAGCUGUAAGUAAGCUUUGAUCCGAAGAUUUCCGAAUGGGGAAACCCACCAUACGUAAUGGUAUGGUAUCCUUAUCUGAAUACAUAGGGUAAGGAAGACAGACCCAGGGAACUGAAACAUCUAAGUACCUGGAGGAAGAGAAAGCAAAUGCGAUUUCCUGAGUAGCGGCGAGCGAAACGGAACAUAGCCCAAACCAAGAGGCUUGCCUCUUGGGGUUGUAGGACAUUCUAUACGGAGUUACAAAGGAACGAGGUAGACGAAGCGACCUGGAAAGGUCCGUCGUAGAGGGUAACAACCCCGUAGUCGAAACUUCGUUCUCUCUUGAAUGUAUCCUGAGUACGGCGGAACACGUGAAAUUCCGUCGGAAUCUGGGAGGACCAUCUCCCAAGGCUAAAUACUCCCUAGUGAUCGAUAGUGAACCAGUACCGUGAGGGAAAGGUGAAAAGCACCCCGGAAGGGGAGUGAAAGAGAUCCUGAAACCGUGUGCCUACAAAUAGUCAGAGCCCGUUAACGGGUGAUGGCGUGCCUUUUUGUAGAAUGAACCGGCGAGUUACGAUCUCCGUGCGAGGUUAAGCUGAAGAGGCGGAGCCGCAGCGAAAGCGAGUCUGAAUAGGGCGUUUAGUACGUGGUCGUAGACCCGAAACCAGGUGAUCUACCCAUGUCCAGGGUGAAGUUCAGGUAACACUGAAUGGAGGCCCGAACCCACGCACGUUGAAAAGUGCGGGGAUGAGGUGUGGGUAGCGGAGAAAUUCCAAUCGAACCUGGAGAUAGCUGGUUCUCCCCGAAAUAGCUUUAGGGCUAGCCUUAAGUGUAAGAGUCUUGGAGGUAGAGCACUGAUUGGACUAGGGGUCCUCAUCGGAUUACCGAAUUCAGUCAAACUCCGAAUGCCAAUGACUUAUCCUUAGGAGUCAGACUGCGAGUGAUAAGAUCCGUAGUCAAAAGGGAAACAGCCCAGACCGCCAGCUAAGGUCCCAAAGUGUGUAUUAAGUGGAAAAGGAUGUGGAGUUGCUUAGACAACUAGGAUGUUGGCUUAGAAGCAGCCACCAUUUAAAGAGUGCGUAAUAGCUCACUAGUCGAGUGACUCUGCGCCGAAAAUGUACCGGGGCUAAAUACACCACCGAAGCUGCGGAUUGAUACCAAUGGUAUCAGUGGUAGGGGAGCGUUCUAAGGACAGUGAAGUCAGACCGGAAGGACUGGUGGAGUGCUUAGAAGUGAGAAUGCCGGUAUGAGUAGCGAAAGACGGGUGAGAAUCCCGUCCACCGAAUGCCUAAGGUUUCCUGAGGAAGGCUCGUCCGCUCAGGGUUAGUCAGGACCUAAGCCGAGGCCGACAGGCGUAGGCGAUGGACAACAGGUUGAUAUUCCUGUACCACCUCUUUAUCGUUUGAGCAAUGGAGGGACGCAGAAGGAUAGAAGAAGCGUGCGAUUGGUUGUGCACGUCCAAGCAGUUAGGCUGAUAAGUAGGCAAAUCCGCUUAUCGUGAAGGCUGAGCUGUGAUGGGGAAGCUCCUUAUGGAGCGAAGUCUUUGAUUCCCCGCUGCCAAGAAAAGCUUCUAGCGAGAUAAAAGGUGCCUGUACCGCAAACCGACACAGGUAGGCGAGGAGAGAAUCCUAAGGUGUGCGAGAGAACUCUGGUUAAGGAACUCGGCAAAAUGACCCCGUAACUUCGGGAGAAGGGGUGCUUUCUUAACGGAAAGCCGCAGUGAAUAGGCCCAAGCGACUGUUUAGCAAAAACACAGCUCUCUGCGAAGCCGUAAGGCGAAGUAUAGGGGGUGACACCUGCCCGGUGCUGGAAGGUUAAGGAGAGGGGUUAGCGUAAGCGAAGCUCUGAACUGAAGCCCCAGUAAACGGCGGCCGUAACUAUAACGGUCCUAAGGUAGCGAAAUUCCUUGUCGGGUAAGUUCCGACCCGCACGAAAGGUGUAACGAUUUGGGCACUGUCUCAACCAGAGACUCGGUGAAAUUAUAGUACCUGUGAAGAUGCAGGUUACCCGCGACAGGACGGAAAGACCCCGUGGAGCUUUACUGUAGCCUGAUAUUGAAUUUUGGUACAGUUUGUACAGGAUAGGCGGGAGCCUUUGAAACCGGAGCGCUAGCUUCGGUGGAGGCGCUGGUGGGAUACCGCCCUGACUGUAUUGAAAUUCUAACCUACGGGUCUUAUCGACCCGGGAGACAGUGUCAGGUGGGCAGUUUGACUGGGGCGGUCGCCUCCUAAAGUGUAACGGAGGCGCCCAAAGGUUCCCUCAGAAUGGUUGGAAAUCAUUCGUAGAGUGCAAAGGCAUAAGGGAGCUUGACUGCGAGACCUACAAGUCGAGCAGGGACGAAAGUCGGGCUUAGUGAUCCGGUGGUUCCGCAUGGAAGGGCCAUCGCUCAACGGAUAAAAGCUACCCCGGGGAUAACAGGCUUAUCUCCCCCAAGAGUCCACAUCGACGGGGAGGUUUGGCACCUCGAUGUCGGCUCAUCGCAUCCUGGGGCUGUAGUCGGUCCCAAGGGUUGGGCUGUUCGCCCAUUAAAGCGGUACGCGAGCUGGGUUCAGAACGUCGUGAGACAGUUCGGUCCCUAUCCGUCGUGGGCGUAGGAAAUUUGAGAGGAGCUGUCCUUAGUACGAGAGGACCGGGAUGGACGCACCGCUGGUGUACCAGUUGUUCUGCCAAGGGCAUAGCUGGGUAGCUAUGUGCGGAAGGGAUAAGUGCUGAAAGCAUCUAAGCAUGAAGCCCCCCUCAAGAUGAGAUUUCCCAUAGCGUAAGCUAGUAAGAUCCCUGAAAGAUGAUCAGGUUGAUAGGUUCGAGGUGGAAGCAUGGUGACAUGUGGAGCUGACGAAUACUAAUAGAUCGAGGACUUAACCAU